rnacentral:tRNA from 1 species
GCAGUGGUGGUUCAUUGGUAACGUCCUUGCCUUCCAUGCAGGAGACCCGGGUUUGAUUCCUGGCCAAUGCA